CCCUUAGAUGUUCUGGGCCGCACGCGUGCUACACUGAGUGGAUCAGCGGGUCAGGUUGCGCGAAAGCGUUUCCUAAUCUUUAAAUCCGCUCGUGAUGGGGAUUGACGGUUGCAAUUUUCUGUCAUGAACGAGGAAUACCUUGUAAGCGCGGGUCAUCAUCCCGUGCUGAAUACGUCCCUGCCCUUUGUACACACCGCCCGUCGCUCCUACCGAUUGAAUGAUCCGAUGAAUAUCAUGGAUUGAGGAUUAUAGCAGGUUCGCCUGUCUUGAUCUUCGAGAAGUGAAGUAAAUCUUAUCAUUUAGAGGAAGGAGAAGUCGUAACA
rnacentral:rRNA from 1 species